rnacentral:rRNA from 1 species
UACUGAGUUGUCGACAUGAGCUGUUGCUGGUCCUCAAAACAAGGGGGCACGUGCACGCUCUGUUCACACAUCCACUCACACCUGUGCACCCCCCGUAGUUCUAUGGCCUGGAAGACUUGCCGUCUUCUUUCUGUAGUUCUGCGUCUUUACACAUACACCGUAGUGAAGUCUUAUGGAAUGCACACCGCGUUUAACGCAAUACAAUACAACUUUCAGCAACGGAUCUCUUGGCUCUCGCAUCGAUGAAGAACGCAGCGAAAUGCGAUAAGUAAUGUGAAUUGCAGAAUUCAGUGAAUCAUCGAAUCUUUGAACGCACCUUGCGCCUCUUGGCUAUUCCGAGGGGCAUGCCUGUUUGAGUAUCAUGAACACCUCAACUCUAACGGUUCACCCGUGACGAGCUUGGACUUCUGGAGGUUUUGCUGGCCUGCGGCCAGCUCCUCUCAAAUGGAUCAGCUUACCAGUGUUUGGUGGCGCCAUGGGUGUGAUAACUAUCUACGCCUGCGGUCGUCUGCCAGGAGACCUUCAGUGAUGGGGGUUUGCUGGGGCUUACAAAUGUGUCUCCUCAGCGAAGACAGCUUUUUGAACGUUCGAUCUCAAAUCAGGUAGGACUACCCGCUGAACUUAA